rnacentral:ncRNA from 1 species
GGGUACACUUAGAGCCCCACGGAUGACGUGUGUUAAUAGCCGAGCGUUUGGCCACGCCGGUGGUUAGUGAAUC